UGCUGUCCUAAAAUGAAAAAAACAAGUUUAUUUUUGUAUGUCUGCAGCGCUUUGUUCCAUACAUUAACGAUGCUGCUCUUCCCCUCCCAGUGAAACAGGAAAUUCUUACAGUUCUGUUUGGAGCAGAGCAAUAGGCUUGCAUAUGUUUGUAAACAGACCAAUAGCACCAGUUUCCCCACUGCCGUACUGCAGCAGGCCUGUGUAUGUAUGCUUUACUUCUUCAGAAAUCCAGAAUUAUUCUGAGCUAGCAAACAUUUACUAAGGUUAAACCAGUUGUGCAGAUCCAUGUAUCUUGACAAAUUAAUUGUGUAGCUUGUUUCAAUAAACAAGAGUUUGCUUUAAGGCGUACUCCAAACGUUACAAGUGUGGCUAAGGUAUCUUGAUCAACAUAGCAAUCUUUUGUGUACUCAUAGUAAUUGCCUUUCAGAGCCUGUGCCAAACAGCAGCUCUUUAACUGGGAAGAAAUUAAUGAAAAUUCAGGCAGCACUGAAAAAAAAUGUUCCGUCUUCCAGAUCUGUGCUAGCUAUGACUGACAAGGUUUGGGUAAAGAAGAGACCGUGCAAAUGUUUGAGGGGGAGAAAAGAGGUAUGCCUCAUUUAAAAUAGCAGGUUGUCUUUAAUAGAAGUAGUGGAGAUGAAUUAAUGAGUUAAGUGCUUAGUCUGGCUUAGCACAAUAAAACCACUAAGCCAUUCAUUUAGUGUGUGAGAAGCCUCACUGUCUGCCAAGGUGAAAGAUUCCUGUAGUGCUGUGAUAACAUUUUGAAGGCCAUGAUUUUUAAAAUGUAAAUGGGCAAAUGUGUUUGAGUGGGACAAAAUAAAUCCCUCGUGUCAAAGCAGAUUAUGGUAUAGGCAUUUUCUCUAUGGAUAAUUUGUUUCCCCUACAGAAAAGUAACAUCUGUUGUGACAGAUUCAUGCAUAUGCUCACCCUUGCCUCAGGGUAGAGAUCUGUAGUGACACUGACUUGCGAAAUACAAUGAAGACACAGGUUAGCGAGAUAGUGUGACAUGUCACGCCGACACCAUGCAGGUAUGUACCUCACAAAACUGCUGAUCUCAGUUUUUGCUAGCAGAGUGUUUCUGUGCACGUCCUCCAUCUGAGCAAAGGCUGCUAGCUGGGGCUGAGCAAUGAGCGUGCCCUGAGCUGAAGGAGCCUUGAAAGGGACCAUUCAGAGAGUGCCACCGAGGCCUUAUCUAGGAAGAGCUUCUGAGGGGUGCAAAUAUCCCUGCCCCUCAGCACCUCUGGGCAUCUGCUGGAUGCUGCUCCCCUGACCAGAGGAUGUGUGUGUGAUGGGGAGCACUAGCGGGGCACCUGACUGUGGGCUCCACAUGCCAUGGGUUGCACAGAAUGGGACCGCUCCAAAACCGAGAAGAUUUUGGAGUAGGUUACUUCCUAAGUGGUUUGAACUUUAAAUGUUUCCAAGUUGUGUUUACCUCUUACUGCCUCUGUCAUGUUUGCGCGGCUGACAGGAAGGUAGGUGUCUGUGCAGAACCCGUUUUGCUGUAAAAACCACUUACUGCACAGAUCCAAACUACUGCUUGUCACAGGCAAAUCUAAUUGUAAAAAUGCUGAGUUUAUAACCCAAAGUAACUUGCUUUGUAGUGGCAAAUUUCCAUUGUAUUAUAAACUUUCUACCUUCUUCUGGUAUUUCAAAACCUGAAAUGCAUUACGUGCACAGAAGGGAAGGAUUUAAGAUGCAAUGAAAAAGAAAAUUCAAUGCUUUGGUAGAGAUUAAUCUUCUCCUGUGUUCUUAAUAACCUUUCACAAAUCACUUUAAUCCUAGUAAAAAACAAAAAACACCCAAGCAAACACAUAAAUCCCUUAACUAAAAAAAAUGUAUAUUUUUUUAACUUUUUAAAUUAAAAUGUAAAAAAUAUUUUUGUUUCAGGUAGAGCACAGAAUCUGGCUUGGCAUGGCCUUUUCCAUACAUAAGUCUUACAAAAUUGGAGAGGAGACAGCAGGCAAGGAGAUGAAAAACUGAAAGAAUCUGGACUUGGGCAAUUACCUGAGCUGACGUGAGUCGGAGUGCUAUCUAAAUAGUGCUAUUAAAAGCCAGAAGAGAAAAUUGGGCUGAGCCGCAGCCAGGCGAUCCAUUGGCAGUGUGGUGCCAACAUCAGAGGAACAGUGCAUUGACUACUGUCAACUUGCUCCACUUGCAACUCGAGAGAUGAGAGGCUUCCUCACGGUAUCUGAGCAGCUGGGCAACUCUGUCUAAAUGGACUCAAAUAUUGCAGAGGAUUUGCCGAAAAGGACAAGACAGCCUACUUUGCCCAGGCCUCACCCUCAGUUCCAUUUCAGAAGAAAAUUUGCAACACCUUUUGUCCUGUUAUCAACUUGCGAUAAUGACAGACUUGGAAAGUUCUGUGCUGCUGCCUUCUCAGACUUUCCUUUGGCGUCUCUUUGGGGAUAGAGAUCAGAGCCAGUAGACAACGCCAGCAACCAGGGCAACCAGCAGAAGACCAACUACAAUGCCCACUAUUAGCUUUGCCUGGUCAUUAACCUUUUCGCUAUUGUCAUCUGAAGCAAAGAAGAAAAAAUAAUGAGGUGACCUAUGAUAAAGAAAAGUGUUACACCAUUUCUAAAGCAUUGCCAUCAGAAACAAGAAAAGGAGUCAGAAUGUCAAAAUGAAAAAAAAAAAAAAGUAAGCAUUGUUCUUAAAAAUAAGGU